CAAGUCGAACGGCAGCACGGGGGCAACCCUGGUGGCGAGUGGCGAACGGGUGAGUAAUACAUCGGAACGUGUCCUGGAGUGGGGGAUAGCCCGGCGAAAGCCGGAUUAAUACCGCAUACGCUCUGAGGAGGAAAGCGGGGGAUCUUCGGACCUCGCGCUCAAGGGGCGGCCGAUGGCAGAUUAGCUAGUUGGUGGGGUAAAGGCCUACCAAGGCGACGAUCUGUAGCUGGUCUGAGAGGACGACCAGCCACACUGGGACUGAGACACGGCCCAGACUCCUACGGGAGGCAGCAGUGGGGAAUUUUGGACAAUGGGGGCAACCCUGAUCCAGCAAUGCCGCGUGUGUGAAGAAGGCCUUCGGGUUGUAAAGCACUUUUGUCCGGAAAGAAAACCGCUUCUCUAAUACAGAGGUGGGAUGACGGUACCGGAAGAAUAAGCACCGGCUAACUACGUGCCAGCAGCCGCGGU
rnacentral:rRNA from 1 species